rnacentral:rRNA from 1 species
UAAUACAUGCAAGUCGAGCGGACAGAUGGGAGCUUGCUCCCUGAUGUUAGCGGCGGACGGGUGAGUAACACGUGGGUAACCUGCCUGUAAGACUGGGAUAACUCCGGGAAACCGGGGCUAAUACCGGAUGGUUGUUUGAACCGCAUGGUUCAAACAUAAAAGGUGGCUUCGGCUACCACUUACAGAUGGACCCGCGGCGCAUUAGCUAGUUGGUGAGGUAACGGCUCACCAAGGCAACGAUGCGUAGCCGACCUGAGAGGGUGAUCGGCCACACUGGGACUGAGACACGGCCCAGACUCCUACGGGAGGCAGCAGUAGGGAAUCUUCCGCAAUGGACGAAAGUCUGACGGAGCAACGCCGCGUGAGUGAUGAAGGUUUUCGGAUCGUAAAGCUCUGUUGUUAGGGAAGAACAAGUACCGUUCGAAUAGGGCGGUACCUUGACGGUACCUAACCAGAAAGCCACGGCUAACUACGUGCCAGCAGCCGCGGUAAUACGUAGGUGGCAAGCGUUGUCCGGAAUUAUUGGGCGUAAAGGGCUCGCAGGCGGUUUCUUAAGUCUGAUGUGAAAGCCCCCGGCUCAACCGGGGAGGGUCAUUGGAAACUGGGGAACUUGAGUGCAGAAGAGGAGAGUGGAAUUCCACGUGUAGCGGUGAAAUGCGUAGAGAUGUGGAGGAACACCAGUGGCGAAGGCGACUCUCUGGUCUGUAACUGACGCUGAGGAGCGAAAGCGUGGGGAGCGAACAGGAUUAGAUACCCUGGUAGUCCACGCCGUA